UUUAUGGAGAGUUUGAUCCUGGCUCAGGAUGAACGCUGGCGGCGUGCCUAAUACAUGCAAGUCGAGCGAACGGACGAGAAGCUUGCUUCUCUGAUGUUAGCGGCGGACGGGUGAGUAACACGUGGAUAACCUAUCUAUAAGACUGGGAUAACUUCGGGAAACCGGAGCUAAUACCGGAUAAUAUUUUGAACCGCAUGGUUCAAAAGUGAAAGACGGUCUUGCUGUCACUUAUAGAUGGAUCCGCGCUGCAUUAGCUAGUUGGUAAGGUAACGGCUUACCAAGGCAACGAUGCAUAGCCGACCUGAGAGGGUGAUCGGCCACACUGGAACUGAGACACGGUCCAGACUCCUACGGGAGGCAGCAGUAGGGAAUCUUCCGCAAUGGGCGAAAGCCUGACGGAGCAACGCCGCGUGAGUGAUGAAGGUCUUCGGAUCGUAAAACUCUGUUAUUAGGGAAGAACAUAUGUGUAAGUAACUGUGCACAUCUUGACGGUACCUAAUCAGAAAGCCACGGCUAACUACGUGCCAGCAGCCGCGGUAAUACGUAGGUGGCAAGCGUUAUCCGGAAUUAUUGGGCGUAAAGCGCGCGUAGGCGGUUUUUUAAGUCUGAUGUGAAAGCCCACGGCUCAACCGUGGAGGGUCAUUGGAAACUGGAAAACUUGAGUGCAGAAGAGGAAAGUGGAAUUC
rnacentral:rRNA from 1 species